CCUACGGGAGGCAGCAGUGGGGAAUAUUGCACAAUGGGGGAAACCCUGAUGCAGCGACGCCGCGUGAGUGAAGAAGUAUCUCGGUACGUAAAGCUCUAUCAGCAGGGAAGAAAAUGACGGUACCUGACUAAGAAGCCCCGGCUAACUACGUGCCAGCAGCCGCGGUAAUACGUAGGGGGCAAGCGUUAUCCGGAUUUACUGGGUGUAAAGGGAGCGUAGACGGCAGCACAAGUCUGGUGUGAAAUCCCGGGGCUUAACCCCGGAACUGCUUUGGAAACUGGGCGGCUGGAGUGCAGGAGGGGUAGGCGGAACUCCAAGUGUAGCGGUGAAAUGCGUAGAUAUUAGGAGGAACACCAGUGGCGAAGGCGGCUUACUGGACUGUAACUGACGUUGAGGCUCGAAAGCGUGGGGAGCAAACAGGAUUAGAUACCCUUGUAGUC
rnacentral:rRNA from 1 species